UGGUACAUCAUAUGAAACACUAUAUGUCAUAAAAAAGAGGAUAUGAAUAAAACAUUUAAUUAAACUGGCAAAAUGUGCAAAGUGUCAAUAAACUGUUCGCCAAUCUGUCACUGAAGAAAUUACAUGUAUAAUUUUGUUUAAAAUGUAAUCAUAAGGACUGGAUUCAAUGUUUCAAACAUUACAAAUUAGUUCAUGAAAUUGGUUAAAUAUUUCUCAAUAUUUAGAUAAUUGUAUUUACGAAAACUGUCAAUUAUUUUAAACUGUCCGACGAUAGAGGCCACUUUUUGUUUUGCGAAGAUAUUAGGUGCAAGUUUAUUGCACAUUUUUUAUAGUAAAUAUAUUGAUUGUGACUAUUUCAUUUCUUCCAUUGUAAUAUUCAAGGUUUCUUAUACACAUUAAUGCACAAAAAUAAUUUAAAAGACAUGUAUAAUUAUAAACAUCUUUAAGAAAACCUUAAGUGUCCAUGGCUAGGGUUAUUCUUUGUACGUUUAUUAUGUAUGUUUGAUUAGCUCCGUAACACAUGCCUCGUGAUUUGUGGCUUUACGUAUUGCACUUGUGCAUUUCUCAAAGGACCACUCAAGAAUUUAUGAGUUAAUUUAGUAAUAUUUGGUUUAUUUACAAAUAAGGCUAUGUAUUGUCUCAUGGAAUUCAAGUUAAAUUUGUUUUCCCAUAAUUGAAGCAAUAUGGACCUUACUCCCACUCCUACUUUAUCUGCAACUUUUUCGCUUGGAGUGAAUAAUAGUGUGGCUUUCCUGUACUGACCCAACAACAACACAAUUUGCCCUGGAGUUGGUGACCACUCACCAAAUGGUUCAAUACGUAGAGCACAAAUUUCCAACCACACCAAGGAAAUUUACAAAAUUCAUGAUUCCAAGGGACAAUUUUCUCUUCCACUAGAAAUUUUAUCAAAAGACCCUGGCUGCCAACUAUGAGACAAUAAAUUGCGAAGGGAAUCAUCCUGCAAGUUACAAGAGCAGUAUAAUAAGAAAGGAGUUACCACGAAAACUGUUUCUUACUCUGAGGGAAAGGACAGAAAAAUCCUCAGCCGCAAGAAAUAAAAAUCACCUACCACACAUUGCAGUAUUCAGUUCAACACUAACUCCCUCCUAUAAUCACAAUCAGUUUCAGUAUAUAAGCAACAGGUCCUAUACACAGGAAACUGCUAAAUGCAAUACACAAUAACCACAUCAAACAUCCGGCACUUACUCAAAUACCCAGUUCAAAAAAUACAGAACUCAUAACCAACAUGCUAACAACACAAAUUCAACAAAGAAUUUUCAUGAUGGAACUUUUCACAAUAAUUCAAUCAAAAUAGCAGUAUGGAACAGCAAUAGAUUUCGGAUACACCAAACAAAGACAAUAACUACUCACUGUAGGAGGCAACGAAAAGAUUAAGAAAACUAAUAGUACCGACACUAGCAAUAAGAAAACUUCUUUCGAACAAGCUUUAACAUUUGCAGAAAACCUUCAUCAAACAUUCCAACCAAACAGUGUAACAAUGAAAGUAACAACAAUAAUGACAACAAAUUAUAACACUGAUAACGAGGGACAAAACAAUACAAUACUCAACACUACAAGCAGAAAAAUAAAACAAAUGAUCUCAACAAUAACAAUUAAUAAUACUCCGGGAUUUGACUUAAUCAAUGGAAGAAUCAUUAAAGAACUUAGAACAUUAGAAUAAUAACAAUAAUUUACAACACCAUACUCAGAGUGCAGUGCUUCCCAACGAGUCUUCCUCGUGCAGACCCAUCUCUCUUCUGCUAAUAUUAUUUAAUAUGUUUGAAAAAAUAUUUACAUUACUUAAAUCAGAAUUAUGGAAAUAAUCAACAGUAAAUAACUAAUACCAGACCACUACUUUGAGUUCAGAGAAAAGCACGCCGCAACAGAGCAGGUAUACAGGCUAAUUAAUAAAAUUAUGUCUGCUCUUGACAGUCAGAAAUACUGCAUGUUACAUUGCCACAACUUACGGAAAGGUUCUUGUCCCGAUCGAAGGAAGAUGACAAGGCGAGAGAUAAUGACUAUUACUUUAUUUUAUACAAAUUGAACUUUGUUGGUACAAAUACUGAUGGAAUGAUUGGAUCUUUAACGUUUAGUCGUCUCGUAGCGUUCUGCUGGUCCUCGUCGCGUUUCAGUUUAUGUAACCUCGGGUUUUUUCGUAUUAGUCAGUUGCAGUUUUACGUGGAGAAAAGCUGUAUUUUGUUAUUGGUCAUGGGUGUGUUUAUUUUACUUCUUGAGGUGGGAAAUUGUCGAAGUCUAGUUUCGUCUUGUCUCGUCGUUGUAGUGAUUUAUGAUGGUAAGUCGCAAGUAGCUGUUGCGUCGCAUGCGGUCACCGGGUGUUUUAUGACCCAGGUAUGGAGGCCGUAAAAAUUAAGGAGAUUUCGGGAAA